rnacentral:tRNA from 2 species
UCCGGCGUGGCGAAACGGUAUCGCGGCUCCCUGUUAAGGAGAUGAUUGUAGGUUCGAAUCCUAUCGCCGGAGCCA